AGAGUUUGAUCCUGGCUCAGAACGAACGCUGGCGGCAUGCCUAACACAUGCAAGUCGAACGCUCACUUGGGUUUCGGCCCUUGUGGGAGUGGCGCACGGGUGAGUAGCGCGUGGGAACCUGCCCUGUUGUGGGGGAUAACCGAGGGAAACUUCGGCUAAUACCGCAUGCGCCCCGGAGCGAUCCGGGGGAAAGAUUUAUCGCAGCAGGAGGGGCCCGCGUCGGAUUAGCUAGUUGGUGGGGUAACGGCCUACCAAGGCACCGAUCCGUAGCUGGUCUGAGAGGAUGAUCAGCCACACUGGGACUGAGACACGGCCCAGACUCCUACGGGAGGCAGCAGUGGGGAAUAUUGGACAAUGGGCGCAAGCCUGAUCCAGCAAUGCCGCGUGAGUGAUGAAGGCCUUAGGGUUGUAAAGCUCUUUCGCCCGCGACGAUGAUGACGGUAGCGGGAGAAGAAGCCCCGGCUAACUUCGUGCCAGCAGCCGCGGUAAUACGAAGGGGGCGAGCGUUGUUCGGAUUUACUGGGCGUAAAGGGCGCGUAGGCGGCGCCGGAAGUCGAGUGUGAAAGCCCCGGGCUCAACCUGGGAGGUGCGCUCGAGACUCUGGUGCUGGAGUUCGGGAGAGGAGCGUGGAAUUCCCAGUGUAGAGGUGAAAUUCGUAGAUAUUGGGAAGAACACCGGUGGCGAAGGCGGCGCUCUGGACCGAGACUGACGCUGAGGCGCGAAGGCGUGGGGAGCAAACAGGAUUAGAUACCCCGGUAGUCC
rnacentral:rRNA from 1 species